rnacentral:rRNA from 1 species
CACGAAGUUAGCCGGGGCUUCUUCUCACGCUACCGUCAUCAUCGUCGCGUGCGAAAGAGCUUUACAACCCGAAGGCCUUCAUCACUCACGCGGCAUUGCUGGAUCAGGCUUGCGCCCAUUGUCCAAUAUUCCCCACUGCUGCCUCCCGUAGGAGUCGUGGGCCGUGUCUCAGUCCCAGUGUGGCUGAUCAUCCUCUCAGACCAGCUAAGGAUCGUUGCCUUGGUAGGCCCGUUACCCCACCAACAAGCUAAUCCUACGCGGGCCCAUCCCAUGGCGAUAAAUCUUUGUCCCUCAAGACACAUACGGUAUUAGCUCCAGUUUCCCGGAGUUAUUCCGUACCACAGGGCAGGUUCCCACGUCGUUACUCACCCGUGCCGACCACGUACGGGCCGAAACGCCCCUACGUUCGACUUGCAGUGUGUUAGGCAUCGCCGCCAGCGUUUCGUUCUGA